GGCAUUUUAAUCUAGAAAUGUUAGAAUAUCUUAUGAAAUUAAUUAUUAAUCUGACCUGAAUACACACAAACUUGCUGCUAUACUGAUAUGGCAAUGAUAUUUCUAAGCAUUUUUAAUAUUUAAGAAUAUAUAGGUUUAUAUACUUCUGUAGAUUGCAAAUUAAAAAUAACAAUAUAUUUAUUUUUAAAUUGAAUUCUCUGAUAUACACUUUGCCAGUAUGAUUUUUCAGUUGUCUGAAAAUCCACCCAUAUGUCUGCUUCCCAUUUUGUUGUGUAGUUGUGAAACACUUAGUUGAUUGGUAUUUAUCUUUUGCAAAGGUGUUUUUAAAAAAACCCCAAAACUUAAAAUGUGGUUCCACAGCUUUCCAUUCUCUGUAUCCUAAGCACAUUGAUGUCUCCAGCCUCACCAAGGUCCUUGUCACCUCCAUUUCCUCCUCUUGUGUGUUGCUCAUGACACCAAGUGCUGUGGAGGUUUGGGAUGAGCCUGGGCAGCCCAUGGUGCUGGUACUCGUGUGCUGCUGGCCUGUUUUUCUUGGAAAGAAAAACAGCAUCAUUUUCCUGCCUGUUCUUAGGAGAGGCAGUUCUUUCUCCUCUCUCCAGACCCUGGUCUUCAUCAGCUUGCAGGAAUUUCCUACUCUUGAGAACUCAGCCUCUGUAACAUCUCCCUGGAAGCUGUAUGGGCAGAUGCACAAGGCAUCACUGCUUGGGACACUGCUUUUACAUGUUCCUGCAGAGAAGGUCCAUGCUCCAGGCACUGCUGGAGCAGCUCUUCCAGAUCCACUUGUGCUGUUGGGAUUGCCUAAUGCUUGGUCCUAUGCCAAAACAUCCUCAGUUUGGUCUCAGCAGAGGAUGCUGAGAGCUGCUGGUGCUCCUCAGAUGGCGGGUCAGGCUGAGCACGAGGGAACACCUUCAUCCUCCACCUCCCAGAAAAGACUGGUGCUUCAGACCAGGACCAGAUGCCCCAAUGCCUUCUCAGGGAUAAAAGAGAGGCUGAGGUUACUGAUCUUGGAUGACAAGACCAACUUCCAUGGCUGUGCCAAGAAGUCAUCAGCACUUGGAAAUGGGCCAAAGGCACAUAGAUAACAAGAAACAAUUUUUCAUGUUAGCUACUCCAGAGAAAUCAACUGUUAUUUCCUCAAGGAUCCACUAAUCCAGGUGGAUAAAAAUUGCUUCCCAGUGGUUUCUCCAGCCUGGCAGUGCAUGUUCCUUUUUGCCAGAGCUCCCCAGGGGAGGAAAGUGCUUGCAUCCCAGAAUGCUGAUGGAUCACACCAUCAAAUUAGUGCUGGAGCACUUAAAAAACCCUUUUGGCAAUGUGGAAAAUAUUCUCUAUUCUUUUAAAGGUUCUACUAUUGCUUAUAAGAGCUAUCAAACAAGCCUGGCACAAGAUAAGGAGGACUUGACAUUCCUGGAUUAUUAAUGGAUUGCAAGGUAUUAAUUCUGUAACAGGACACUCACUGGGCUGUCUUUGUAAGGAAAUUCAAACAAGAACAGUGUUACAGAAAAAAUGGCAUUGAUUUUUUAAAUAGAAAAGCCACAUCCCUGCCAACUCUCUUCUCUCCAAGUUGUAAUUCUGGGAAAGGGUUCAUAGAAAGGGGCACUUAUUUUUGCUAGGUUAAUUCUUAGAACUACUAAGGAAGGUUAAAGCUUACAGGAGUCCCCCAACCCAAAAAGCUGCAGCUGUCCCAUAACAGCAUGGUUUGUUCUGGAUUUCUCCUGAUGAAGGCUCUCCUGGCUCCAGCACUGCUGCUCUGCUUAGACACCAUUAUCACUGCAGCCUGUCCAGGAUGUUGAGCCUGUGAGAAGAGGGAUGCAGAGGAAGGAGUCAGGAUGUUAACACUGCUUCCAGGCAUGGCAGAGAUACUGGAUCUGCACUCAAGUCAGAGGUGGAGUGAGUAAAUGAAUCAGACAUCUGAGAAAUCUCAUAGAAUUGUGGAAUAAUUUGGCUUGGAUGAGACCUUUAAAGCAUGUCCAUUUCCAAUUCCCAGCCAUAACAAGAGACAAUUUUACCUACACCUGUUUGCUUCAUGCCCCACCCAGCCUGGCACUGAACGCUUCAAAUCCUGCAAAAAACAUCUGAAGAAUUUUGUCAAGAUGUAGGGAUCAGAUGUGUACCAGAGGGCACAGUUCUGAGUUUCCAGAGCAGUACUGAGCACAUCCUCUCCACUGGUGCCUGAGCCACGCGACGCUGCAGGGGCACAGCUGCUUCUAGAACUGCAGGGGCUGAGCACCUGUGUUUGGCUGGACACCUCAAUAACACAAAUGGUUUUUGACUUGUGGUGUAUAUUGCACAACUGACACCUGUUCAUGGACUUUUCUUGGAGCCUGGAUCCAUGUGUGCACCUGGCUGCGAAAAUAACCUGCCAGGCUGAUUUGGCAUCUGUGAGCCUGCUGCUUCAACACGUUAGCAUGGGAGCAAAGCUGUCAGCUUCACCCCUGAGCUUCAGAUGGGACCAAACCAGCCUCCUGUGCACCAUCUUCAUCUGCAAGUGUUUGGGACUGAAUUACUCAAGGCACUUGGAGCAGCAAAUCGGGAUUUCCAGUAUAAUAUAUUGUGUUAAAAAUAUCCUGCUCUACUGCAAUAAAUGCAUGCAACAAUUGCUACUGCU